ACUAUAAAUAUCUCGGCAAACCCUAGGGUUUUGUAUGUCGUUGCCUUCCAACCAACCGUGACUCCUUUUCUUCUAGGGUUCUCAAAGGGAGGCGCCCGCGGUUUCGUCACUGUUUCUCUUUCACCAUGAGAGCCAAGUGGAAGAAGAAGCGUAUGAGAAGAUUGAAGAGGAAGCGCCGAAAGAUGAGGCAGAGAUCCAAGUAGAGCUCCGCACUUUUUGCUGUUUCCUGAUCGGUGCUUCGGGGUUUUCCUAGGGUUGCUUUUCUAUUUGAUUUUAUUUACCGUUUACGUGGAUUUUAAUAUGUAAUAGUAUGUUUUUACUCUUCGGUACUGCGUUGAGUAAUCAACUAUUUAAUCGAAUGAGAUUCCUUUGGAGAAUUUUCUAGGGCUUCUA